rnacentral:misc_RNA from 1 species
GCGAGUUAAAACAAACUCCAAACCCAUGUGAACAUACCCUUUGUUGCCUCGGCAGGUUGUGCUGUCCGGUGACUGCUACCCUGUAGGAAGUGCUACCCUGUAGUUACCCUGUAGUUGGUAGGAGCUACCCUGCAGCACGCCAAAGGCCUGCCGAAGGACCCCCAAACUCUGAAUCUACUGUAUCUCUGAGUAUAAUAUAGAAAUAAGUUA